CAAUAGCGUACACUAACGUUGUUGCAGUUAAAAAGCUCGUAGUUGAAGUUUGGGUAGGAGCGACCGGGCCUUGGGGUGAAUGCCUCAUGUUUUUGCCUGUGUUGUCUCUGGCCCUCCUCCCUUUGUUGUUUUAGAUGAAGGGUCUUUCACUGUAAAAAAAUUAGGGUGUUUCAAGCAAAAGUUGUUUUGGAAUAGAUGAGUAUGGGAUGAUGAGAUAGGCUCUCGGUGCUAUUUUGUUGGUUUGCACGCCGCGAGAAUGAUGAACAGGGACAGUUGGGGGUAUUCGUAUUUACAUGUCAGAGGUGAAAUUCUUGGAUUUUGGAAAGACGAACUACUGCGAAAGCAUUUACCAAAGAUGUUUUCAUUGA
rnacentral:rRNA from 1 species